GACAGACUGGGGUGGCUGUGCAGAGCGCUAAACACUCGAGACAACGUUUGCGAUUCACUUGUUCACAUUUCCGGGAAAUCAUCUACGUAGAGGCAUUCCUGCCGCGCCCCCAUAUGCCUGGUCAAAUCUGCCCGCGCGGGCGCUUCAAGGAAGAAUGUUUCAAAUGUCCUCUACUCAACGGAUCAUCACCAUGAGCUGGAUGUAUGUCUUUCUACCCAUCGUCUGGGGUGCUGUUGUGUCCUCUUACACAGCGGAGUUGACCGUGAAUCCAGGAGAAAACGUUACUCUAAGCUGUGACUAUAAACCAUCAACUGGUGAAAAUAUUGUGUGGUACAGGAACUGUUCUCAUGAGAAUCAGCCCACUCGUAUUCUGAGGUGGGAUGAAUUAAGAGAGAAUAAAGACUCCAAUUCAUCCAAGGAUCUGAAUGUGAUGUGGAACAAUUCUUCAAAAUCAUACAAUUUACUGAUUAGGAACAUCAGUGAUUCUCACCUUGGUCUCUACUACUGUGGAACUGAAAAACGGUUGUGAUAGAUGCAGACAAAAUAUUUCAAAAAUAUAUCCUCAGAUAUGGAAAUGUGACCACAAGGAUUUCAUUUGUUAAGCCUCUUGAUGCAUGUGAAGACUGUGGAGAGUGCUGGAGGCUGCUGGUCAUCCUAUGUUCCUCCUGUGCUCUUCUCCUCUCCCUCCUCUCAUUCUCGGUCGUCUACCUCUGUUGCAGAAGGAAAGAUGAAGACCUCCACGUUGCUCAGGGAACACCCAGCAGUAUUGAUGUAACACCUAUCAGGAACCAGGAUGAGGAUGGCCUGUGUUACGCUACACUGGAUAUCCCUUUACGUUCUCAGAGACCUAAAAAGAAGAGAGUCCAACCCUCAGAGUUCAGCACCUACUCAGCCAUCAAUACUAAGAGGAUGUGACCAUGACCAAGCCUUUUAAUAUAAAUACAAGGGCUCUAAUUCUUCAAUAUGACUUCAACUUUGUGCUUUCUAGAGGAGGCAGACAAUAUCAUUUUCAGAUUCACUCUCAAUAAAAUGCAUGUGAUAUAGUAAAGCUUGUUGGGAAGUAUGUUCUAAAUACCAUGUACUGUUUCCAUAUUGUUUGUCAAUAGUAUAAGUCCAAUAAUGCAUUUUUGGCUAUGUUUAUUCACUACAUUAUCAGAUAUUGUCUGUUGUUCAUUGUUUACUAUGAAGUAAGAUGGAGUGAACAGAAAUGUACAAAGGACUCUUUUGUAUCAGGUUAUGAUCUGGAGCUAGCUAAAGCUAUUCUGCGUGGGUUGUCAUUUUUGCUUGGCAGUCUCUACUCCUUGUCUUACAAGUAGGAUGCUGGCAGCCUCUUAAACAUCCCAAGAACACAUCAUUAUAACAAAAAUCCCUUUAACAUUUUACAAAAAGGCUCCAUUAAUUUACCAUUAAUUAGCAUUAUUUAUUAUAGUAAUACAGUUAAUUAAGUCUUCAUUCAAAAAUUAUUAAAUCUAUAAAUAUAGUGUUAAAGGAAAACAAUGGGAUUUCUUCAACCUGUACGGUUCUAAGGGACUAAUACAGACAACAAUAUUUGAUGGUCCAGUAUUGAGCGAGAAGGUAAACCGGAAAAAUGGGGAAUCUACUAUUUUCGAACACAGUGGAGAGGAUCUUUAUUGAGAAUUAAAAUGGUUUUCUUUACCUUUCGCCC
ensembl:lncRNA